UUUGGUUUGAUAGUUUAAUCAUGUCUACUAUCCAAUGUGAUUCAUUUACUUAUAUGAUUACCUUAAAUGUGAUUUGGAAUGACUUCCUAAAUCUCAUUCAUACUCUGGCCAGAGAUUCUUAAUCAUAUCAUAGAGUAUUCUCCCUCAAACAAUUUGAAGGUUAGAGAUCCCUUGUUGCGCAUUCACUUGCCUCCAUGGCUAAGUGGCUUAACCCCGACG
rnacentral:lncRNA from 1 species